UAGAAAUCUGCAAUAAUCAAUUUUACCCCUGAUUAUUCUCUAUGGCCUCUUUGAGAUCGAUUUCUCCUCUUCUCUCAGUCUAUAAAAACCUUAUAAUUUCAUUGUUGUUAUCUGCACCGCUGCAUCCCAAAUCCCUAAUAUCUCAGUUCUUGUCAUUCUUGAUCAAGUGGCUAUUGCUUUUAGUUUUCUGGGGCUUUGUAUUCCUGGGUGGUUAAGCUUUGGGAACUUGUGGUGAAAGCUGCUACUUAACUUUUGUGAGCUUUUUGGAAUACAAUGGCUGCGAGAGAUAUGUCUGUUGAAGCUACUGGAAAAGUAAGUUCUCAAACUUUGACCAACACUGAUGCUUCGUCAGUGCCACCUCCUCCACUUGUGGAUAAUGGUAAGAAGAAAAAAGCAAGUAGGAAAAUGUCCACUGUGUGAGAUCACUUCACCAAAGUUGAUGGUGGUGAAUCUUUUGAUUCCAAUGAUCCUAGAGCUGCUUGCAACAACUGUAAGAAGAAUUAUGCUUGUGAUACGAAGAAGUGUGGGACCUCUAGUUUGUGGAACCAUUUGUCUAAUUAGUGUAAAAGGUAUCCUCAUGGGUUGAGGACAGAAAACAAAAAAUCCUUAGCUUUGGGAGGAAAGAUGGUAAUAGGAGCCUUAUAGCAAUUGGCUUUAGUAAGGAAGCUUGUAGGGUUGGGUUAACCAAGAUGAUAGUUCUUGACGAGCUACCCUUUAGCUUUGUUGAGAAGGAAGGGUUUAAGCUUUUCUAUGGUAUUAGUUCCCCAAAAUUUACUCCACUCUCACGCAGAAUUAUUGCAAGAGAUGUGUUUCAAUUGUAUUUGGAUGAGAGGAGGCUUUUGAAAAAUGUGUUGACCACAAAUGCACAAAGAGUUUGCCUUACCACUGAUUGCUGGACAUCUACACAAAACAUUAGUUAUAUGGUUUUAACUGCUUUUUUUGUUGAUUGUGAUUGGAAAUUAAUUGGGAAACUAAUUGAAUGGGGAAUAGAAAAUGUGUUCACUGUCACUGUUGAUAAUGCUUUAGUAAAUGAUCAGGCUGUUAAUUAUGCGAAAAGGAAACUGAGAAAUUGGAAAACUGAUGUGCUUGUUCUUGAUGGUGUGUACAUGCAUUUACGAUGUAGUGCUCAUAUUGUGAUUUUGAUUGUGUCUGAGGGGUUAAAAGAAUUGAAUGAGUCUAUAUUAAGAAUUCGAUCUGCUGUCAGGUAUGUGAGGUCCUCGCCCUCAAGGCUAAAAAAAAUUAAGGAGCGUGUGGAUCGUGUGAAAAUAGAGUCUAAGGGUCUUGUGGUUUUAGAUGUAUCAACAAGGUGGAAUUCCACCUAUUUAAUGUUGGUUGAUACCCUUAAGUUCCAAAAAGCAUUUGAAAGGUUGGAGGAAGAUGAUGGACAUUUUAUUACUUACUUUAUAGAUGGUGAUUAAAAAAAAGGGUUGAUUCCUCCUACAACUGAUGAUUGGGAUAAUGCAUCAGUUUUUGUUAGGUUUCUAAAAAAAUUUUAUGAUGUGACACUCAAGUUCAAUGGAUCUUUAACUAUGACUUUUAAUACUGCAUUUCAUGAGAUGUGUUCAAUACAACAAGAACUAACAGUUCUUGGUAGCAGUGGAGAUCAUUUGUUGCAAAAAAUGGCUAAUAGUAUGAAACUCAAGUAUGAAAAAUAUUGGGGUUUUAUGGGAAAGGUUAAUAACUGCUAAUUAUUUCAAUGGUGUUUGAUCCAAGAUUUAAAUUGGAUUAUGUUUCAUUUUGCUUCAGUUUUAUAUAUAGUGCAGAUAAAGCGAUUAAGUUGACCAAAGGUGUUAAAGAUGUGUUACGCUUUAUGACUUUUAUUUGAAGUCUAAUGAACAAGCUCCCCAAGCUCCGAAUAUUGGUUCAUCUAGUAGUAGUGCACCAACGCAAAUUGUUGAUGGUAGUUCUAUUGAAGAUGCAAGAUUGUCUCAGUUUUUGAAGAUAAGAAAACAGAGAAAUAGUGGUGAGUUAAGAAGUGAGGUGGAUAGGUUCUUAUUGGAACCUCCCAAGAAUCCAAUGCAUAAGCAAUUUAAUUGCUUGAAAUGGUGGAAGGUCCACUGGGAAAAAUAUCCAAUUUUAGCUAAGAUUGCAAGGGAUGUGUUUGUAAUACCAAUUUCCAUAGUGGCAUAUGAAUCUACCUUUAGCACUGGAGGGCAUGAUUAUAGGAGUUCCCUGACUCCUAAGAUGGUAGAGGCGUUGAUUUUCACACAAAACUAAUUAAAGUCAUCUCCUAUCUCUUCAGAAGUUGAAUCAUCAUCCAUUGAUGAGAUGGAACUCCAUGAGCAGAUCAUAUCAGGCUUGCAACUCCUCUUGAAUGCUUUGGACCUUGACUUUGGGAAUAAAUUAGUAGAUGUCAUCUCAUGGUGCUUAGGGUUAUCAAAAUUUGCUGCUCAAAGCUCAUGGACACUGCCACUAUCUAAAGUUUUGAAUUUUAUUAUAAUUUUGGGCUUGAUAAGUUAAUUCAUGUUUAACUUUUGAAUUUUAUUAGUAUGGAAUUGUUAAGUUGAUUUUCUUUUAUGGUUGAAGUUUGGAACAUGGA